UUGGAAAUCGCUCUCAGUUAGGUUGCAGAAAUGUUUUCUGAAGCCUUCCCUUUCCUGUGCCUUUGGCUAAAAGAUGUCCACUUUCUGAUUUGGGAUUUACAGCUGUUCUGCCCUGGAGAGGGUCAGGAGCAAGGCCCUGAGAUCAAAGGGACCUCCCUGUGUCCCCAGGGCCCUGCAGGGGACAGAAUGGACACUCUGGGGUCAUAUCUGUGUUAGUAUGUAGGGGACAGAAUGAACAUUUUGGGGUUAAAAUGAGGGAAUCAGUAGUGGACAGGUGGGGAAAAUAUUGGACAUAAGUCUUGAGGCUGUCUGUAGAGGACAGGAAAUAUUUUGGAGGGAGAUUGGUUGUUCCUUUGUGCUGCGCUCUGUACUCAGUCGUGGGUCAGCUCCAGAAAUUUCCUUGGGCAGCUACAAAAAUGAUCUCUGGAAAGUGGGAAAAUCCCACUGGCAAAAUGCAGAGGAACAGGUAUUCUGAACCUCUCCUGCCUCUUACAGAGCAAACGUGGUAAUCCCAGGUCUCUCUUGGAAAAAUCUAUGACCAUAAGGUUUCCCAGGAGAAAAAAAAAAACAAGGACAGAGAUGAGGGCACGUGCUCCCAAUGAAUAAGGAUUUGAUGGGUGCAGGAAUGAUUCGUGUGUGUUUUCCACUCCCCUUUUUAUUCCCGGAAUAACCUUAAAAUUAUUCCUUUAAGAGACCGACCAAACUGGAGAAUUUGAAUCAGAGAGGAAGCGAUGCACAACAAAUGCAGGGAGAAAUGGUGGAAUGGUGAUGGAAUCCUGCAGUGGUUCGGGUUGCAAGGGACCUUAAAGCUCAUGCAGCCCCACUGCUUGAGCAGGGACACCUUCCCCUAGCCCAGGUUGGCCCUGGUCGCAGAUGGAUAUGGAAGUGCUGGAGGUGUUUAGGGAAUGCUGCUAGUUUUUCCCCCACCUCUGGCCAUCGGGUCCUUCAAAAGACUAAUUCACCUCUUCGCCCAGGGAAAAAGGCUGGAGCAAGAGGUUCCAAAAAGAACGGGGCUUUCUGCACGAUGAAACCCGGGAGUGCCCGAUCCUGCCUGGAAGGAGGGGGGCGUGAACGGGCGGUGGGCGCCGCCAUGAAAGGAGCCGAGGGGCAGGGACUUGUCCGUACAAGGAGUGUCGGGGCGUGCCCAUGGCCAUAAAAGGUAAACGAAGGGUGGGGAUAUGCCCGAAAAAGGAGCGUGUGGGGCGGGGCUACGGCCAUAAAAGGAGUGUGGGGCGGAGCGAUGCCCAUAAAAGGUGUGUGGUCUGUGCUAUAACCGUUAAAAGAUAAUAUGGGGCGGGGUAAUGCCCAUAAAAGGAGUGUCUAGGGCGGGGCGAUGCCCAUAUAAGGGGUGUCGGGGCGGGGCGAUACCCCAAAAAGGAGUGUGUGGGGCGUGGCCAUGCCCAUACAAGGAGGCGUCCGUCCUGUCUCGGUGAGCGAUUCUUCCGGACCGGGUGUUCUCAGUGUUCUCAUCGCUGCUGCUGCUGCCACCGCUGUCAUUGGUGUUUUGUAUCAUCAUUAAUAUUAAAUUACUCUGUUUUUCUCGGUGUCCGUUAUUAAACUGUUCUGAUCUCACCCCA